rnacentral:lncRNA from 1 species
ACAUAUCUUAUAAGCAAAGACUAAUUCAUCAAAACAAUACAUUAUACAAAAAACAUAAAAUACACAUAAACAUAAAAUAGAGUUGCUUAUUAUAUAACAACUGUUUUUAGGCAAAACCACUACAGGUGGAGUAGUCAUUAUCAUAAGAUAAGAUAAACCAUUGUCAAACUGUUAUAAGAUAUGUUGAUUGUUGGAUUACCUAACAACUCUAUCUACAUCAACAUCAACUCUGUUGCUAUUUUUGAUAUCAAAAAAAGUAAACUUGAGAAGAUCUCCAGCUGACAAGUAAUUAUCCAUGUUGAAUUUAUGCCAUUGUAGAUACUCCAAUUCUCGAAUUCCAUUUCCCCCUUGCCUUUGAAUAAUUUCGACCAAAUGAGGUUCAGCUACUGGACCUUCAAGCACCAGAUAAUUAUGAAAAGAAGUGAUAUAGUCACCUAACCACUUGUUGAAAACCUGUCAAAUAUGGUUGAAGGUAAGCAACACGCAUAAGUAUUAAUGUGUAACAGUAUAAAUAAAGAAGUUUAAUAAUAGGAAAAUACUUAACUAAUUCGUCUCUUGAUCCAAUUGAGUUAUUUGAUAAAAGAAUCUCAAAUGU